AACGUAGGAGACAAACGUUAUCCGGAGUUACUGGGCGUAAAGCGCGGGCAGGCGGUCUGACAAGUCUGAUGUGAAAUCUCCGGGCUUAACCGGGAGAGGCCAUUGGAAACUGACAGGCUGGAGGGCAGUAGAGGUAGGCGGAAUUCCGGGUGGAGUGGUGAAAUGCGUAGAGAUCCGGAGGAACACCAGAGGCGAAGGCGGCCUACUGGGCUGCACCUGACGCUGAGCCGCGGAAGCCAGGGGAGCGAACGGG
rnacentral:rRNA from 1 species